rnacentral:pre_miRNA from 1 species
GAGCCAACCUUAUGAAGCAGGACUUGCUUCAGUGGGGCUUUGGUGCUCACUGAGUCUGCCUCCUGAGUGUGUCACU